UUCAUUUUUGGACAAGCAUAUUGGAAGCAGUAUAUUAUCACCAAUGAAAGAUGCAGUCAAACAGAGUUUAUCCACAAUUCUAGGGGGAUGGAAACAAGAAAAGGCUGAUCAUGUGAUGACUGCUCCAGUCCUUCACUCCUACACCAGAAAGAUGGUUGUUAGCAUUCCAGCACAGUUUUCCUGACCAUUGUGGACAGCAAUUUUUUCUCCAAACAAUGGUAUAAAAAUCAUGGAGUGUAGACAUAGCCUGGCACUGGACAGAUCUUCAUUAGUAUUGUUAUAGCAGUUCCGCUUGCAUGCACCUCCUGCUGUGCAACAUGUAUGCUUUCAGGAAGUACACUGCAAUGUCUGGCAAUGAAUGUAUCAACUGGGUGAAUUAAGAAUCCAGUCACUUGGAACGUUAAAGAUCAAAGAUAUUGUAUGGGGUUAUUCCCAGGGAAGAUGUCUGAAUAGAUCUCUCAGUUGAGGUUGAUUUGUCACCAAAUGAAGCUAGCAGUUCUUUAGGCAUACAGGAGUGAAGGGCACAUCCGUCUUCAACAGACAAGCACUGAUGAAGUCAACCAUGCACACAAGAGAAUUAGAGGAUCUGGAGAGAGUAGCAAAACUAGGUGGAAAGAAAGAAACAGUCCGGAACACAAAGUAGCCACAGCAGCAAGAGGGCCAGGAAGGUGAAUUGCAGCAGUUUUUUAUCCACACACAUAUUUGUAUGUUUUGUGAAUUUCCUGCUGAAGGAGGCUAAGUAAUCCUGGAUACCUCAAAGGAAUUCUGAACUGUUAGAAACCCAACAAGCAGCACUGCUUGUAUUGGUGGACCCAGAGAUUUCUUCUGCUUCAACUGCAGUGUCGCGAGAGUGGUACACCCCAUCACCAUUUGUGGGAGAGGUGGAGGGGCAUUCUGGUCUUGUGGGUUAGUAUGAAUGACUGCCCGUAAUUUCAGGGCCAUAUGGCCUAAUGUCUGGGGUUGACAAGGUGGCACUCCUAUGCGGGGCUGUGCAGCUCAGUAGCCAGAGGCAAUGGGGUUUCCCUCC